rfam:Glycine soja cultivar W05 scaffold2511_30, whole genome shotgun sequence.
UUCUUAUUAGAUGAUGAUUGACACGUGUCAUGUGUUUUGAUGAGAUGUUAACUCCAUGAAAGAUGAAUGCAUUGCUAUUUUCAUUAACCAAUUAGAACAUGACAUGUGACAGUCAUCAUCC